CCAAUACAAGAAAUGUCCCUUCAGUAGAGUUUAUUUAAUCAUUUUCUAGGCAAGGCCACAAAAAUAAGUACAGAAUUUUUUCCUUUGGACAUCAUGGUUUUGACCUUAAUAAAUUUGAAAGCAUUGAGAUCAUACAAAGUAUGUUCUCUAACUACAGUGAAGUAAAAUUAGAAAUCAAUAACAGGAGGAAAUUUGAGAAAUUCACAGGUAGGUGGAGUUUAAAUAAUACACUCCUAAGAAACCAAAGGGUCAGGAAGGAAAAAUAAGAAACAUUAGGAAGGACGUUGAAAUGAAUGAAGCACAUAAUACAGUUUGUAUCUGGACCAAGGAUGAGUCCUUUCUGUAGAUGGACCCAGUCACUUUAAAGUUGAAGCAACUCUGCGAUGGCUGUGGAUUUCUCAGAUCCUGGGGGGAGAUUGUGAAUUUGUGAGGAUGGUCAACAGCUCUGGAGACAAAUAACAAAGGAGAGGAUGUGUCUGGCCUGGCAGGGGCGGGGUGGAUUACUCGAGCAAAGUGACGUUGUGUAUUUCAACCAGCCCUGAGUUUUGGAGCUAGACCUGUACUCUAAGACUGCUUGGUUGGUUUUCUUCACUUUUUUUUGUUUGUCUGUUUGUUUUUUUCACCCUUUCAGGCUCCUUGAACAACAAAGUCUUGUCUCAUCCCAAAGGGACACAGUGCUCCUGCUGAGAAACCCUGCUCUAGGGGACAAUCUCAAGCACCCAGAAGGCUACAAAACUCAGCGCUCUCCUUGCCCUGGGCCUGGCUCAGUCUUCUGGAUUUGGUUUCAGACUUGGCCAACAUCCCUCUACUAUCUUCCCAGCUGGUGUUCAAGAAUAGCCCCUCUCCACUGGAUUCAGGAUCCCACACUAAACCACAGCUUCCCAUCUGGGGACUUCCCUGUUCAGCUUCCUCAGACCGUCCUCUCCCCGGUUCCUGAUGAAGGCCGUCUGCGUAGAACCUGCCUCUGGACUCAGGAAGCGCAAGCCUUUCCUUCCUUCUCGAAUCGAAUUUGAGAUGGAGCGGAUGAUGAUUGGAAAUGACUACGAUGGUGAAGCCUGGCACGUCGUGAACUUACUCUGUAUUAGGUGCGUCUCUUCUCUUAUGUAAUCCCCAAACAAGAGAGAAAGUCUGUGAAUGAGAAAACUAAAGGACAUAAAUAGCAAGCCACAUGACCAGAGGCACAAACUUAGCAAGGAAAUCCUAGACGCUCGAUUAGAACACAGAUUUUCAGCACAAAUUUUAAAUCCCCCCCCCUUUAAACAGCUUUAUUUAGACAUAAUUGAUAGCCUGGAAACUGAAAACAUUGAAAGUAUAAAAUUUGAUGUUGUAGCAUAAAUAGUCAUUUGUAAAAAUAUCACUAUGAUAAAAAUUCUGAGUGUGCAGGUCCC
rnacentral:lncRNA from 1 species